rnacentral:lncRNA from 1 species
AUGCCUCUCUCUUGCUUCCACGUGUCUUCGAAUGCUCCAGCGCAUAUAUUUCAAAUUUCGAACAUCCCGCUUGCAUUUGAAUUUCAAAUGUUUUGGUACUUCUUCGCUUCGAACGCACUUCUUAGACACAGCCUUGUUGUCAUUUCGAGACUUCUUUGGAUAUAUUCUCAUAACUGUCACUCGAAGCUCCAAGCUCUGAUAUGCUUAUUCGAAGCAUUGCUUCUACUAUUUCGAAACAUGACGUUUUGUUUCAUUUCGAUCGAAACGUUCCAUUUACUUUGCUUCUAA